ACACCGGCAGCUCAAGUGGUGGCCAUUUUUAUUGGGCCUAAAGCGUUCGUAGCCGGCUUGAUAAGUCUCUGGUGAAAUCCCAUAGCUUAACUGUGGGAAUUGCUGGAGAUACUAUUAGGCUUGAGGCCGGGAGAGGUUAGGGGUACUCCCAGGGUUUAAGGGUGAAAUCCUAUAAUCCUGGGAGGACCACCUGUGGCGAAGGCGCCUAACUGGACGGACCUGACGGUGAGUAACGAAAGCCAGGGGCGC
rnacentral:rRNA from 1 species